AAAUACUAAAAUAUAGGUUUAACUCCUAUUCUUAGCA
rnacentral:tRNA from 1 species